rnacentral:rRNA from 1 species
UACGGAGGAUGCGAGCGUUAUCCGGAUUUAUUGGGUUUAAAGGGUGCGUAGGCGGCCGAGUAAGUCAGCGGUGAAAUUUUGCAGCUUAACUGUAAAAGUGCCUUCGAAACUGGUUUCCUUGAGUGUAGAUGAAGUAGGCGGAAUUUGUGGUGUAGCGGUGAAAUGCAUAGAUAUCACACAGAAUAUCGAUUGCGAAGGCAGCUCACAAAGCCAAGAUUGACGCUGAGGCACGAAAGUGUGGGGAUCAAACAGGAUUAGA